rnacentral:rRNA from 1 species
GGCGUGCUAUACAUGCAAGUCGAACGCACAGCGAAAGGUGCUUGCACCUUUCAAGUGAGUGGCGAACGGGUGAGUAACACGUGGACAACCUGCCUCAAGGCUGGGGAUAACAUUUGGAAACAGAUGCUAAUACCGAAUGAAACUUAGUGUCGCAUGAUACGAAGUUAAAAGGCGCUUUGGCGUCACCUAGAGAUGGAUCCGCGGUGCAUUAGUUAGUUGGUGGGGUAAAGGCCUACCAAGACAAUGAUGCAUAGCCGAGUUGAGAGACUGAUCGGCCACAUUGGGACUGAGACACGGCCCAAACUCCUACGGGAGGCUGCAGUAGGGAAUCUUCCACAAUGGGCGAAAGCCUGAUGGAGCAACGCCGCGUGUGUGAUGAAGGCUUUCGGGUCGUAAAGCACUGUUGUAUGGGAAGAACAGCUAGAAUAGGGAAUGAUUUUAGUUUGACGGUACCAUACCAGAAAGGGACGGCUAAAUACGUGCCAGCAGCCGCGGUAAUACGUAUGUCCCGAGCGUUAUCCGGAUUUAUUGGGCGUAAAGCGAGCGCAGACGGUUGAUUAAGUCUGAUGUGAAAGCCCGGAGCUCAACUCCGGAAUGGCAUUGGAAACUGGUUAACUUGAGUGCAGUAGAGGUAAGUGGAACUCCAUGUGUAGCGGUGGAAUGCGUAGAUAUAUGGAAGAACACCAGUGGCGAAGGCGGCUUACUGGACUGUAACUGACGUUGAGGCUCGAAAGUGUGGGUAGCAAACAGGAUUAGAUACCCUGGUAGUCCACACCGUAAACGAUGAACACUAGGUGUUAGGAGGUUUCCGCCUCUUAGUGCCGAAGCUAACGCAUUAAGUGUUCCGCCUGGGGAGUACGACCGCAAGGUUGAAACUCAAAGGAAUUGACGGGGACCCGCACAAGCGGUGGAGCAUGU